UCGGGAGUAGCUUAGCUGGUAGAGCGUCUGACUCUGAAUCAGGAGGUCCUAGGUUCGAAUCCUAGCUCCCGAG
rnacentral:tRNA from 1 species